UUGACGGCACCCCGGCGAGCAACGAAUACUGCGGGACAAUAAUUUAUUUUAGUUUCACGGAAGGGAGGCACGGAGUGGCACGCUGCCUGUGGCAGAUUCGAAGCGGCUAUUAUGACGAAGAGCCGACCUUUUGAAUUAAUCGGCGAUCAUCCUCGCAACGAUUUAUGAUUGCGAAAAGAAGACGAUGGACGACGACAAUGGACGAGGCCGCAUUUUCUAGAAGAAAAUCAACAAGUUUUGCGAUUUACAUUAAUCCAAGAUGUCUCCCACCUUGUCGAGUGUUCGUGGGAAUCGAACGACAUCUUAUUUUCUUUAUAUGUCGUGUCGAGGUAUGAUCGUCAUAUUGACGUCGUCAACUUUCAGAUCUCACGGUAAAUAGGCUGUGAUGGAUAUAAUAUUAAACUCGCGAUUUUCUUCGGGAAUUUCUCUAUUAAUAUGAAUUUUUAUGAUAUCUUCCUUCGAUUAGCAAUUUAUUUAUCAGUGAAAGUCUAUAUCUUCUCUCAAAAAAUUCUUUGUGUAAUAUUAUUUCACGGACGGGAUAUAAAAUAAAUAAAGUAAUAAUGAAAAUUAUUUUUGCGUGUAAAAAAUCGUACGAAUCCUCAGAUUGCAAAUACGAUAUAAAAUAUAAAAAUAUAAAAAUAUUCAAUAAGUGACGAUAUAUUUGAAAAGAAUUUUAAGGAACUUUUUAUAAAAAAAUUCGUGUUCUUUUAAAAAGAAAUCUAUAAUUUCUUCACAAGAUUCAAAAAGGUUAAAGAACAUAGAGAGCAGACUAGUAAAAGGAUCACCUUGGAAAUUUUCACAGGUAAUUCUUUCGAUCACGGUCUGUGAUUAGUGAAACAUUUUUUUUUUUAACAAUCCUCGAAUCGAACCGUAACUGUUCGUGAAUGGUAA